UGAGUAACGCGUGGGAAUCUACCUUUUGCUACGGAAUAACUCAGGGAAACUUGUGCUAAUACCGUAUGUGCCCUUCGGGGGAAAGAUUUAUCGGCAAAGGAUGAGCCCGCGUUGGAUUAGCUAGUUGGUGGGGUAAAGGCCCACCAAGGCGACGAUCCAUAGCUGGUCUGAGAGGAUGAUCAGCCACACUGGGACUGAGACACGGCCCAGACUCCUACGGGAGGCAGCAGUGGGGAAUAUUGGACAAUGGGCGCAAGCCUGAUCCAGCCAUGCCGCGUGAGUGAUGAAGGC
rnacentral:rRNA from 1 species